rnacentral:rRNA from 1 species
UACGAAGGGGGCUAGCGUUGCUCGGAAUCACUGGGCGUAAAGGGUGCGUAGGCGGGUCUUUAAGUCAGGGGUGAAAUCCUGGAGCUCAACUCCAGAACUGCCUUUGAUACUGAGGAUCUUGAGUUCGGGAGAGGUGAGUGGAACUGCGAGUGUAGAGGUGAAAUUCGUAGAUAUUCGCAAGAACACCAGUGGCGAAGGCGGCUCGCUGGCCCGGUACUGACGCUGAGGUGCGAAAGCGUGGGGAGCAAACAGG